GAUUAAAGUAGCUCCCUGAAGCAGGACUGACUUGAGUCCCUAUGAAAUAAUAUAUGGACCACCUUUUCAGAUGGCUAUAGGAACAGGAGAUAUAUAUGUAGACCAUGAUGUUAAAAUUAAGAAUUAUAUGCAGCAUCUUAAUCAAACACUGACUGGAAUGAAUAAUUUGGCAUGUGCCAGGGAUUUUCUGUCAGAGGUCUGCCACAUCCCUUUGAAUCAAGAGACAGAGUUCUCCUCAAAACAUGGAAAACCAGAUUGCCAGAUGAUCAACUAGAGGAAUAACCAGACAGGAUCCUGGAACAUGCUCCUCACCACUCCAACUGCUCUGAAGCCGGCAGCAGGAAAGUCCUGGAUCCAUCACACCAGAGUGAAGAGGGCACCAGAACCUAAGGAACACCUCAAGGCCAGCAGAGGACAUUUGGCUCAGGUGGACUAAAAAGUCCCAAAUGAGAAAGUGGCCCCAGCCUCAUUUUGUGGAACAGCCAUCAGUCACUCUAUCCAGCACAGCAGGAGGCAGCCGCACUGAGGGCGAGACAGCAGGCCAACGAUAACAACGGCUUACAGCCCACAGCCUCAAUGGCCAGCACUAAUUGGUCUGAAGGACAACGAGCUCCAUCUAAUCAGACUAGAACACCUACAUCCCUGAGCCUCCGCCCCUUGCCAUUUUGGCGCAUAAAAUUCAACCCCAAGGACAGCGGAGGCUGAGUCCUAACCUUCCUCGUUGGCUCCAUCCCCCAUUCCCUCUAAUAAACUUCCCUCCUGCUUGCUCGCUG